ensembl:snRNA U6 U6 spliceosomal RNA
GUGCUUGUUUCAGCAGAACAUAUACUAAAAUCGAAAAGAUACAGAGAUUAGCGUGGCCCUUUCAGAAAGAUGUCAUGUAAACUUGUGGAGAAUGUCUUUUUUUA